UGAGACCUCUUGAUGGCCGCGGCCGUGAUCUUCAUUGGGAUCGGCUGAGGAACUUCCGGGCUCCAUAGAGCACGAUGGCGGAUAACGUCCGCCCAGGGUGACCUGAGAGAUAGCGCAACAGAGAACAGACCGCCCGUCCUCGACGGGUAAGGGUGAAACGGCGGUGUAAGAGACCACCGGGCCUCUGGUAACAGUAGGUCGCAUGGCAAGCCUCAUCGGGAGCAAGGCCAAGCAGAUGGCGGUAAGGGCUGCUCGCCCGUGUCAUCGGGUAGGCUGCUAGAGCCUAGCGGCAACGUCAGGUCGAGAUGGAUGGCCAUCCGUGCCGUGCGUUCGCGCACGGCACGACAGAACCCGGGGUAUAAGAGGUCUCAUUUU
rnacentral:RNase_P_RNA from 1 species